CCUACGGGGGGCUGCAGUGAGGAAUAUUGGUCAAUGGGCGGAAGCCUGAACCAGCCAAGUAGCGUGCGGGAUGAAGGCCCUACGGGUCGUAAACCGCUGUUGCACGGGGAUAACACGCUCCACUUGUGGAGGUCUGCAGGUACCGUGCGAAUAAGGGCCGGACAAUGCCGUGCCAGCAGCCGCGGUAAGACGGAAGGCCCGAGCGUUAUCCGGAUUCCUGGGGCUUACAGGGAGCGUAGGCGGGCGUUCAAGUCAGCUGUAAAAUCGCGCGGCUCCACCGCGCCCCGCAGUUGAAACUGGUCGCCUUGAGUUCACCACAGGCAGGCGGCAUUCGUGGUGUAGCGGU
rnacentral:rRNA from 1 species